rnacentral:tRNA from 1 species
GGAGGGGUAGCGAAGCCUGGUCAAACGCGCAGGACUCAAGAUCAAGAUACGCGCAGAACAAUUUCUUCUCGCCAGAUUCAGAAUUGCGGGAUGAGCGAUCCCGUCCCUUAGGGGUUCGUGGGUUCAAAUCCCACCCCCUCCA